GCGGGGGUGCCCGAGCCCGGCUAAAGGGGGCGGACUCAAGAUCCGCUGGCGUAGGCCUGCGUGGGUUCAAAUCCCACCCCCCGCACCA
rnacentral:tRNA from 1 species